CGAGAUGUGCAGCGGACGAUUAAAGAGGACAUUGACAUCCAUAGAGGUGAGUCAUACACAUUGAUGGAAGCGAUGGCUGUUUUGUGUCAUCUGUGUCAUGUUUGCACUUUGUUCGGGUUCUUUGCAUGUCUAACUCUUUGCUUUGACACACUCUGUCCUUGAGGUGUUGGCUGUUUAGCAUCUGGGUCACGUUUGGACUUUAUCCUGGUCACUUGUCUGCGUCAUUCAUGGCUUUGACAUAAAUUGAAGACAUGGGACUUUGAUUGUUUGCUGAUGUCGCCAUUUUCUUUGUUUUACAUGCCGAGAGACCGAGAUGUGCAGCGGAUGAUUAAAGAGGACAUUGACAUCCAUAGAGGUGAGUCACACACAUUGAUGGAAGCGAUGGCUGUUUUGUGUCAUCUGUGUCAUGUUUGCACUUUGUUCGGGUUCUUUGCAUGUCUAACUCUUUGCUUUGACACACUCUGUCCUUGAGGUGUUGGCUGUUUAGCAUCUGGGUCACGUUUGGACUUUAUCCUGGUCACUUGUCUGCGUCAUUCAUGGCUUUGACAUAAAUUGAAGACAUGGGACUUUGAUUGUUUGCUGAUGUCGCCAUUUUCUUUGUUUCUUUUACAUGCUGAGAGACCGAGAUGUGCAGUGGACGAUUAAAGAGGACGUUGACAUCCAUAGAGAGACGAGAUCUGCAGUGGACGAUUAAAGACGACGUUGACAUCCAUAGAGGUGAGUUUGUUCUUUUCUCACACUUUGCUAUUUUUCUACUUUCCUCUUUUCUCACACUUUGCUAUUUUCACACUUUGUUCUUUUUCCUCUUUUCUCACACUUUGCUAUUUUCACACUUUGUUCUUUUUCCUCUUUCCUCACACUUUGUUCUUUUUCCUCUUUCCUCACACUUUGCUAUUUUCACACUUUGUUUUUUUUCCAUACUUUGUUCUUUUUCCUCUUUUUUCACACUUUGCUAUUUUCACACUUU
ensembl:lncRNA